rnacentral:rRNA from 1 species
UACGUAGGGUGCGAGCGUUGUCCGGAAUUAUUGGGCGUAAAGAGCUCGUAGGCGGCUUGUCGCGUCGGCUGUGAAAACCUGGGGCUCAACCCCGGGCCUGCAGACGAUACGGGCAAGCUAGAAUUCGGUAGGGGAGACUGGAAUUCCUGGUGUAGCGGUGAAAUGCGCAGAUAUCAGGAGGAACACCGGUGGCGAAGGCGGGUCUCUGGGCCGAUAUUGACGCUGAGGAGCGAAAGCGUGGGGAGCGAACAGG